rnacentral:sRNA from 1 species
AGCGAGCCCAGCUCCGGUCCCAGCCCCGGCCGUCCCGGCGUCGCUUCGGAGCGCGGCGGCAGCUGACUGCGCCUUCACGAUCCGCUGGGACCCGCGAGCCCCGCCGCCGUUAUGAACAUCCGCAAUGCGAGGCCAGAGGACCUAAUGAACAUGCAGCACUGCAACCUCCUCUGCCUGCCCGAGAACUACCAGAUGAAAUACUACUUCUACCAUGGCCUUUCCUGGCCCCAGCUCUCUUACAUUGCUGAGGACGAGAAUGGGAAGAUUGUGGGGUAUGUCCUGGCCAAAAUGGAAGAGGACCCAGAUGAUGUGCCCCAUGGACAUAUCACCUCAUUGGCUGUGAAGCGUUCCCACCGGCGCCUUGGUCUGGCUCAGAAACUGAUGGACCAGGCCUCUCGAGCCAUGAUAGAGAACUUCAAUGCCAAAUACGUCUCCCUGCAUGUCAGGAAGAGUAACCGGGCCGCCCUGCACCUCUAUUCCAACACCCUCAACUUUCAGUCGGGGGUGGGCCGGCUGUGGGGAAGA